CUCCUUCAUCAUUGACCACUGGUGUAACCUAAUCACACCGCUCACCUAUUUCCGACUUCGACCACCACACCAUUGCCGACUCUAGCCACCACUGACCACAUCAUCGCAAUUUCAAAAAGGAAGCAGCAGGCGGUCUCACGAUCCCCUGAUUUCGAUUUAAGGUGGUAAUGGAAGCGAUGAUGGUUGGUAAUGGUGGUUCACGGAGGAGGUAGGGAGGAUGGUGUUCAACGGUGCAAGUGAAGGUGGUCGGUUGGUGUUUAAAGGGUGAUUAUCGAAACGUUAUCGAAGCUUGAAGCAAGUAGACCUGGUGAUAUGUGUAGUCUCCAGUGUUCAUAUCUGUAGCCAUCAAAUCCUCCUUCGGCUCAAACUUGUCGAUGUCAUCAAAGAGGCCGGAAACAUUAAGUGAUCCUGCAAGAAUAGCAGAUGUGUUGGAACCAAGGCGAGUGACUUUUGAUGACAAAAUGGUGGUGAGAAAAGCCAUUGAAGAUGUUGGGAUUCCUUUCACCUACGUAUCUGCAAAUUGCUUUGUUGGUUACAUAGUUGGUGGGUUGUGUCAAUCUAGUUAUAUUCUUCCUUCAAUAAAAUUUGUCAUCUUGCUUUGAGAUUACACAAAUCAAGGGUAUAUGUAGAGCGGGUUUGAUGUUCGAUUCAUAGGGGUUGAAGUGGGUUUCGUUAUAGGUGGUGAUGAUUCGUUCGACAGGGUGUUUCAAGGUGGUGUAAGGUAGAGAUGGGUGUGUUUAUGGUGGAAGACGGAAGUGAUGGUUUUAGGUUCUAUGAUGACAGUAGUGGAAACCGGUCUUGGUCUUGUGGUUGUUUCGAUUUCAGAAGGUUGUGUAGUGUUUUUUUUUCUCUUGGCAGGUGGUAGCAAUGGGUAAGUGGGUGUCAGCCGGCCGGUUGAGGUGAUGAAUAGAGGAUAGGGUGGUGAGUAUGGUUUGUGGUGUUUUUGAGGUAUAGUGCUUAAGGUGGAAGCUGAUGGUGGCUAUGGAGGAAAACAAAGGUUCGAUGGUGGGUGUUGGUUGUGAAGAAGAUGAUUGGUGAAGGUGUAAAUACUCUUAUUUAUUAUUAACGAACGAGUAAGAAAAGUGCCAAAUAAGUAAGCCAAGUCAUUUAAAAUGCCAUGUCAUUAGUUUACCUGAGGUAACAGGUUACCCAAAAGGUUUUAUGUUAACAAAUGUAUACUUUAGUGGUAUUUUGUCUACAAAUUAUAUACUUCAAUGAUACUUUUUGUACUAAAAAAACAACAA